CGGCGCGUCUUAAACAUGCAAGUCAAACGGGUGUAGCAAUACACCAGUGGCGAACGGGUGAGUAACACGUAGAUAAUCUACCAUCGAGUUGGGGAUAACCUGUCGAAAGGCAGGCUAAUACCGAAUGGUAUCAUGAUAGCGAGAGCUGAUAUGAUUAAAGAAGCGAUUCGCUCGAUGAUGAGUCUGCGUAUGAUUAGCUAGUUGGUGAGGUAAUGGCUCACCAAGGCGACGAUCAUUAGCCGGCCUGAGAGGGUGAACGGCCACAUUGGGACUGAGACACGGCCCA
rnacentral:rRNA from 1 species